AAAUAGAUACCCCGGUAGUCCACGCCGUAAACGAUGAGUGCUAAGUGUUAGAGGGUUUCCGCCCUUUAGUGCUGAAGUUAACGCAUUAAGCACUCCGCCUGGGGAGUACGGCCGCAAGGCUGAAACUCAAAGGAAUUGACGGGGGCCCGCACAAGCGGUGGAGCAUGUGGUUUAAUUCGAAGCAACGCGAAGAACCUUACCAGGUCUUGACAUCCUCUGACAACCCUAGAGAUAGGGCUUCUCCUUCGGGAGCAGAGUGACAGGUGGUGCAUGGUUGUCGUCAGCUCGUGUCGUGAGAUGUUGGGUUAAGUCCCGCAACGAGCGCAACCCUUGAUCUUAGUUGCCAUCAUUAAGUUGGGCACUCUAAGGUGACUGCCGGUGACAAACCGGNGGAAGUGGGGAUGACGUCAAAUCAUCAUGCCCCUUAUGACCUGGGCUACACACGUGCUACAAUGGACGGUACAAAGAGCUGCAAGACCGCGAGGUGGAGCUAAUCUCAUAAAACCGUUCUCAGUUCGGAUUGUAGGCUGCUAACG
rnacentral:rRNA from 1 species